rnacentral:rRNA from 1 species
AAGGCAUCUUCUUGGGUUAAAAACUCCGGUGGUUAAAGAUGGGCAUGCGUUGUAUUAGCUAGUUGGUGAGGUAACGGCUCACCAAGGCAACGAUACAUAGGGGGACUGAGAGGUUAACCCCCCACAUUGGUACUGAGACACGGACCAAACUCCUACGGGAGGCAGCAGUGAGGAAUAUUGGUCAAUGGACGCAAGUCUGAACCAGCCAUGCCGCGUGCAGGAAGACAGCUCUAUGAGUUGUAAACUGCUUUUGUACUAGGGUAAACGCUCCUACGUGUAGGAGUCUGAAAGUAUAGUACGAAUAAGGAUCGGCUAACUCCGUGCCAGCAGCCGCGGUAAUACGGAGGAUCCAAGCGUUAUCCGGAUUUAUUGGGUUUAAAGGGUGCGUAGGCGGUUUGAUAAGUUAGAGGUGAAAUACCGGGGCUCAACUCCGGAACUGCCUCUAAUACUGUUGAACUAGAGAGUAGUUGCGGUAGGCGGAAUGUAUGGUGUAGCGGUGAAAUGCUUAGAGAUCAUA